ensembl:snoRNA Gm23835 small nucleolar RNA SNORA17
CCUGUCCCUAGAAGCAUGGCAGGUGUGGCUGCUGUGCCAUACGAGCAUCCGUAGGUGUCAGAGAGGAGCGAGGCUGUAUCUAAGGUUAGUGUUCUGACUGUGAACAUCAGCAUGAUUAGUAGCCUUACAUC